UUGAACGCUGGCGGCAGGCCUAACACAUGCCAGUCGAACGGUAACAGGAAGAAGCUUGCUUCUUUGCUGACGAGUGGCGGACGGGUGAGUAAUGUCUGGGAAGCUGCCUGAUGGAGGGGGAUAACUACUGGAAACGGUAGCUAAUACCGCAUAACGUCGCAAGACCAAAGAGGGGGACCUUCGGGCCUCUUGCCAUCGGAUGUGCCCAGAUGGGAUUAGCUAGUAGGUGGGGUAACGGCUCACCUAGGCGACGAUCCCUAGCUGGUCUGAGAGGAUGACCAGCCACACUGGAACUGAGACACGGUCCAGACUCCUACGGGAGGCAGCAGUGGGGAAUAUUGCACAAUGGGCGCAAGCCUGAUGCAGCCAUGCCGCGUGUAUGAAGAAGGCCUUCGGGUUGUAAAGUACUUUCAGCGGGGAGGAAGGGAGUAAAGUUAAUACCUUUGCUCAUUGACGUUACCCGCAGAAGAAGCACCGGCUAACUCCGUG
rnacentral:rRNA from 1 species